CCUACGGGAGGCAGCAGUGGGGAAUAUUGCGCAAUGGGCGAAAGCCUGACGCAGCGACGCCGCGUGAGGGAUGAAGGUCUUCGGAUCGUAAACCUCUGUCAGCAGGGAAGAACGGUCACUGUGCUAAUCAGCAGUGAAUUGACGGUACCUGCAAAGGCAGCACCCGCUAACUCCGUGCCAGCAGCCGCGGUAAUACGGAGGGUGCGAGCGUUAAUCGGAAUUACUGGGCGUAAAGCGCUCGUAGGCGGUAUGUCAAGUCAAGGGUGAAAUCCCCGCGCGCAACGUGGGAACUGCAUUUGAAACUGGCAGACUGGAGUGUGUGAGAGGAUAGUGGAAUUCCAGGUGUAGGAGUGAAAUCCGUAGAUAUCAGGAGGAACAUCAGUGGCGAAGGCGACUAUCUGGCACAUAACUGACGCUGAGGAGCGAAAGCGUGGGUAGCAAACAGGAUUAGAUACCCGAGUAGUC
rnacentral:rRNA from 1 species